CGAAAGAUUAUUAUAAGUCGAAAUUUUUUUUUGACUUACAUUGACUUAAUAGUGUUAUGAAAGAUAUGAUCGAUAAUCUAGAUUAACAUGCUUCAUAUCUAUUAAUUGAUCAGAUCACACUGACAAAUGAAUUAUAAUUUCACUGUACACGAAUAAGCUUGAUUUUGUCAUACAACAUGACAUUUUUAUAACAUGUAUUACCCUAACACAUUACUAGAUGAUAAUUUGGGACAACGUAUAAAAUUGAUGAUAAAUUAAAAAUAGGUGUUCUAAUUUAUCAAUUGUAAUUAGAUUAUAAUAAUAAUUCACGUCGUUAAACAUUCGAUCGAAAAACAUAAUGGAUCAUAUAUAAAAGGAGAACUAGAAGAAUGAUGUCAUUAAUUAAUUAAUUGAGAAAUGUUGGACAUUUGUAUAAUUAAUUAAUUAGGUUGCUUGUUAAUAGGCAAAGUUGAUUAAUUUAAUUAAUUUAUUUAUUGAUCAAGUUUAACUAAUUAGAUUAAUUAAGCAAAGGAUUAGAUUAAGUUUAAGUGUCGGGCGAAUCUCACUUGGGCUUCUAUUAAUAACUUCUUAAGGUUUGAAAAAUCACACAACACAAUUAUUAUUAUUAUCAGAGUUUCUAUCUAAACACAAAAUAGAUCCUUGAGUGGAAUUGAAAUUAUCUUAUUUUUUGCUAAACAUGAUUAAAUAAAUU
rnacentral:lncRNA from 1 species